rnacentral:rRNA from 1 species
ACGUAGGGGGCGAGCGUUGUCCGGAUUCAUUGGGCGUAAAGGGCGCGCAGGCGGCCCGGCAAGCGGUGCCUCUAAGCCCGGGGCUCAACCCCGGGACGGGCGCCGAACUUCCGGGCUCGAGCGCGGUAGAGGAGGACGGAAUUCCCGGUGUAGCGGUGGAAUGCGCAGAUAUCGGGAGGAACACCGAUGGCGAAGGCAGUCCUCUGGGCCGUCGCUGACGCUGAGGCGCGAAAGCCGGGGGAGCGAACAG